rfam:Triticum urartu cultivar G1812 contig1183841, whole genome shotgun sequence.
UACUGACUCCCUCCAUCUGAAAUUACUCGUCGGAGAAAUAGAUGUAAGUAAAUGUAUUUUAGUUUUACAUACAUCUAUUUUUAUCCAUCUCUACGACAAGUAAUUUUGGACGAAGGGAGUAUGAC